rnacentral:rRNA from 1 species
GACGAACGCUGGCGGCGUGCUUAACACAUGCAAGUCGAACGGAAAGACCCUGCUUUUGUGGAGUGCUCGAGUGGCGAACGGGUGAGUAACACGUGAGUAACCUGCCCUUGACUUUGGGAUAACUUCAGGAAACUGGGGCUAAUACCGGAUAGGAGCUCCUGCUGCAUGGUGGGGGUUGGAAAGUUUCGGCGGUUGGGGAUGGACUCGCGGCUUAUCAGCUUGUUGGUGGGGUAGUGGCUUACCAAGGCUUUGACGGGUAGCCGGCCUGAGAGGGUGACCGGCCACAUUGGGACUGAGAUACGGCCCAGACUCCUACGGGAGGCAGCAGUGGGGAAUAUUGCACAAUGGGCGGAAGCCUGAUGCAGCAACGCCGCGUGCGGGAUGACGGCCUUCGGGUUGUAAACCGCUUUCGCCUGUGACGAAGCGUGAGUGACGGUAAUGGGUAAAGAAGCACCGGCUAACUACGUG